rnacentral:rRNA from 1 species
UACGAGAGGCCCAAACGUUAUUCGGAAUUACUGGGCUUAAAGAGUUCGUAGGCGGCAUUACAAGUAGGGUGUGAAAGCCCUCGGCUCAACCGAGGAAUUGCGCUCUAAACUGUCGUGCUAGAGGAACCUAGAGGUGAGCAGAACAGAUGGUGGAGCGGUGAAAUGCGUUGAUAUCAUCUGGAAUACCGGAGGCGAAGGCGGCUCACUGGGGGUUUUCUGACGCUGAGGAACGAAAGCCAGGGGAGCGAACGGG